rnacentral:lncRNA from 1 species
AAUCAUCUUUGAGGAAAUGAAUUUUUGACUUGCAUGUUGAUGAACAAAUAGUAGGAAAGUGAUCGGGUUGACAGUAUUCCUGUAAUUGUGAUUUUUUCAUAUUACUUGAGAGCUAAUUGAGGGGUUUGGUUUUCAGGUUGGUUAAAAAAGAUGAUCAUGAAGUGAAUGUACCAGAAAUGACAUCCAGGAAAAUCAUGGUUACUCCUGGGCGAAAACCAAAAGUGACAACUGAUAAUGAAGCUGACUGGAUGCCUUCUCCUAUGGUACUUGUAUUCUGUACUCCUGAUGUGAAAACCCCUUCCAGAACAAAUAGCAUGUUGUCAAGGUCACCAGAGACAAAUGAACUGCCUCUUCCCGCUCAUAUGCAAACACCGCAGUUUCCAGAUUUUGAAACAAGAUGGCUAAAAACAGAAGCUAAGCAGGUAAAGGAGAAGGAAAAGAUUGAGUCUGUGACAAAGAAUGAUGCAACAGAUAAACAGCACAUAGAAGAGAGCAUUCCUUCUACUGUGAGCUCUGAUGAGUAUCUCAAACAUCUUGAAGACCUUUCUCCUCCCAAAAUAAAGUCAUAUGACCAGUUACUCAGUACUCCUCCACCUCCAGAAAUAACAAGGAUACCAGAUGAUAUUCUACAGAUUCUGUCCAAGUAUAGUCAUAAAGCAGACUCUUCUAAAGCUAAGGUAAUGGAGACCAAGGCAGGAAAUAUCACAAGAUAUGAAAGCGACUACACUGAUUACUGCAACAAAGAGAACAGAGGAUAUUCUGGAUUUUUCAAGCCAAACGUCUGAAAGCAAGCUGAAGACCAUGUUGAGACUGUUUCAUAUUCAUGGGUCUUAUCACUGAAUCACAACAAGCUCGAAAAGUGAAAGAAAAUACUGGUGGGAGGAAAGAGCCAUACAAAGGAGGAGCUUUUUUAACAGAGAAAGUUUGAUGUAGAUAAACUUGUUUACACAAACAACUUGUGCUUAAUUUUUAACUGAAAUUAUUGGCAAAACAUGUUUAGGGUUUUUAAAUAUAUGUAUGCUUCAAAGAGGACUGGGGCCAUGUCUGAGGUAGUACUUCAGGUGUUUUGCCUGAUUCUCGUGUUUGCAGCAGGUUGUAGAGAAGUGUAGUUCGGUUACAAGGAAGGGAAGGUCCAGUAUAUUCCCCCAGGAAGUGGGUAUCCCUGGCUGUUCUGGUGACACUGCACAUCUCUUCAGGGCUGAGUUUGAAAUGUAGUACUUCAACAGUGUUUGCUAUCUUCAACAGAAACAAGUCUUUGUAUGUGAAGAGUAACUCCUCUUUAAAUCACUUCUGUAAUACUAAGACAUAUCAGAUGUAUCAGGCUCUUACCUGUCUGAUGGACAAGUAUUUCUUAUGCUGCUUCUUCUUUCUUAUUAUAGUUCUCUUUCAUCAACAUCAUAUGCUCUAUAUCUGUUUUCCUUUUGACAGUCUAACCUCUGUAGCCCUAAAAGGUGACUCUGGAUCGCAUAGAAUUACUUGAAAAUAUAUUGUGCAAUAGGUGCUGCUUAUGUAUAUCUUCCAACUGCUGGAGAGAUUUCUGGUAGGUGUGUGAUUGCUUGAUCUUCUACGCUGCUGCCAUGUGCAUUCUCUAAGUGGUGGUGUCACUUCUAAACAUGCUGUGUCAGCUAUUCCUCUGAGUGACUCCAGGCUUGCUCUUACUGACAGUAUGUGGUUUUCCUGCUGAUGGCUAAAAUCCUGUCAUUUGUAUGAGGCUAGGCAUGCAAAACAUGAGUAGGAAGCAACUGUCCCAGGAGAUGGGGAGAAGAGGGCUCCACAUUUUUUAUAUAUAUUAUUUUUUACAUCCUCAGGAUAUGCAAACAUCUGAAGAUGCCCAGAAGUAUUUCUUCAGUUGCUUAGAUGGACUUACCCUGACUAAAACCUAGCAAGUAAAGGAGCCUUUUUCCUCCUAUUCCAGUCAUUCUCCAGGAUUAAGGAUAUAUUAAAUUAAAUGGAGAAGCUGAUUUUCUACUCAUUCUGGCCAGAGCACACUGUCAUUUUUUGGUGCUAGCUUCUGUUGAAAAAUAUGUAUAUAGUAUUAUUAUUAUGUAUCAGUCUUUCUGCUUGAUCAGCAUUUUUGAAUGGUAAAUAAAGGUCUUGGAUGCUUGGUGGCUGCUUGCA